rnacentral:lncRNA from 1 species
GGCGAUAUCUGGCCACAGCUUUUAUUCAUAAUAUAGAUUCAUAUAAUAUAUAUAUAUAUAUUGGUAGAUAGAUGUAUAUGUAGAUAGAUAAAUGAUUGGUUACCCGAAGAUAAUAUGGCAACCUUGUAGAUAGAUAGAUAGAUGGAUAGAUAGAUAUAUCAAAAUGUAAAGGUGCACCGUGGAAUACACGGGUGCUUCAAAUUUAGAAAACACCGUGGGAUACACAAGUGUAGUCUGUAUUAUCCAAAAACCUAAAAUGUCAUAGUUAAAAUUAAGAUUCUAUGCAGCGAAUUCUGCCAUUUACUGGGAAUCUAUUUAUGAAGCUUAAAGUUCAAAUAAAGUCUUUUCUGAACAGCAAACGAGUCAAGAUCAUCCUUGUCUAAUCUGGAUUACCACUGCCACGGACAGAAACCUGAAAAAUAAAUGCAAAAGAGCAGUAUCUCACACAAAAAGGAGUGGGAGGGCGGGUUACAAAUUUUCCGCUAACAAUUAAAAAUAUACAGCUUGCUUCCUUGGAAUUUCUGUAAAAGACUUAAUUACGUCACAGAAUAUUACGUCACUCAUAUUGGUAAAGCUAAAAAAAUGAAACACUAUCUGACAGAGGCCCCAGCGAUAACUGAAUUUAAGUCUAUUAACUUAAAUUCCAUUAUCUCAGAUGGUGCCAUUAAAACAAAAUGCAUAUAUGGAUUGGCGAUAUCUGGC